rnacentral:rRNA from 1 species
UAAUACGUAGGGGGCAAGCGUUGUCCGGAAUUAUUGGGCGUAAAGCGCGCGCAGGCGGUUUCUUAAGUCUGGUGUCUAAGUGCGGGGCUCAACCCCGUGAUGCACUGGAAACUGGGAGACUUGAGUGCAGAAGAGGAGAGCGGAAUUCCACGUGUAGCGGUGAAAUGCGUAGAGAUGUGGAGGAACACCAGUGGCGAAGGCGGCUCUCUGGACUGUAACUGACGCUGAGGCGCGAAAGCGUGGGGAGCAAACAGGAUUAGAUACCCUGGUAGUCCACGCCGUAAACGAUGAGUGCUAGGUGUUGGGGGGGUCCACCCCUCGGUGCCGAAGUAAACACAUUAAGCACUCCGCCUGGGGAGUACGGUCGCAAGACUGAA